GGAUGUAAAAGUCGUAACAAGGUUUCCGUAGGUGAACCUGCGGAAGGAUCAUUAUUGUAUAACCGAGGUGCGAGGGCUGUCGCUGACCCGAAAGGUCGUGCACGCCCGAGUGCCCUCACACACAUCCAUCUCACCCCUAUGUGCACCACCGCGUGGGUCCCCCUUUGGCUUGUUCGGAGGGGGGCUUACGUUUUCACACAAACUUUGUAUGCAGUGUAGAAUGUAUUUUUUGUUUUUGCGAUCACGCAAUCAAUACAACUUUCAACAACGGAUCUCUUGGCUCCC
rnacentral:misc_RNA from 1 species